UAUAAUAGGAGGCGAUCCAUAAAUCUGCGAACGGCUCCGUAUAUCUGUUAUCACCCACGGCCACUAAAAAGAUCUCGGAUACCCACGGUAAUUCUGAGGCUAAUACGUAUACGUAGCUUGGGCCUCCAGGACAGGGCGCCCUCCGCAAGGGGGGCGCCUGGGCUAGUCGCUUGUUGCCGGGGGGUCCCGCAAGGGGUCCGCUGUCAUGAUGGCAGGCUAGUGCACCACACUGCGGGGGCGAUAUGUCCCGUAGGGUGCGCCAAGGGAGCCAGCCCUAUUAACUAGGUGUCCGGGUAAGGCCCGGCCGCGGUGAUAACGGGUACAGAGGAUCAGGGUUCGGUCCUGGAGAGGAAGCCUGAGAGAUCGCUUCUACUUCUAAGGAAGGCAGCAGGCGCGCAACGUUCCCAAUGGGGAUACCCUGAGGACGUGAGGGGAUAUAGCAAUGCCCCGCCCAUAAAGCGGGGCAAUUGCAAUGGGGGUCCACUAAACCCUCCACCGAGUAACAAUUGGAGGACAAGUCUGGUGCCAGCACCCGCG
rnacentral:rRNA from 1 species